AAAAAUUAAACAUUUGACUGACACUUUAAUUCACUUGUAAUCUAGGUGACAACAUGGCAUACAGGAAGGUGUGUGAUGCCCAGGGUGGCCCGUUGGUCGGUGAAGUUCUGCACUGCUCAGGAGGUCUGGAUCUUGACUGGGACCUGGACAAAGAAGAACUGCAGGAACCAGGACCUAGCAUGGACCGCAUGCAGAUGCAACAUGUGGAGUGCCAGAGAUCAGGGUGCUCAGACCCCGGCCCUGACCCUGACCCCGAGCUGAUGGAACCCAUCCAGCAGUCCGUCUCAGUUUCACCCCAUGGACGAUUCGAACGUCUCCAAGAAGAUCCCAACUAUAUCUCCCACUUUACCAGGGCCCCGGGCCAUAAGGGACAACGACGACUCCACUGCUUCCUGUUCAGGUACUUCCUGGCUGGGGUGGGGCUUUUCAUCCUGGGUCUCCUGAUCGGCUGGUUCGCUCACACGCCUGCCGUCAAACCAUCUGUUCCCCCAUCAGAUAGUUCAGACCUGCUGGAGGAGCUGUUGAGAGGAAUCAAGGCUGACAAGAUAAAUGCUCUCCAGAGAUCUUUCUCCAGCCUAUCAGAUGACAGCGAGGAAGCCAGAGCCAGGUACCUCUACAGGCAGUGGGUGGGGCUUGGUUUGACAGAUGUCCAUCUGUCCAAUCACACAGUUCUGCUCAGCCUACCUGGUUCCACACCCAACACUAUCACUGACCGAUCCAGUCACCAGUGUUUCCUGCCAAAUGGGACCCCCUGUGACCAGCGCGGACCCAACGACCUGCCCAAGCAGCAGUUCUCCUACGCAGCCUACUCUGCUGUGGGGAGUGUGCAGGGAGAGGUGGUGGAUGUGCAGUACGGCAGUGUGGAUGACCUGAGGAGAGCCAAAGACAGCCUGAACCUCACUAACCAGAUUGCUGUGGUCAAGCUUGGCCAAGCACCUCUUCUGUACAAGCUCUCCCUGCUGUCUCAGCUGGGUUUUGGAGGUGUUCUGCUGUACAUUGAUCCGUGUGAUGCUCCCCCUGGCCGCCACACCUGGCACCAAGCCUUCAGAGUCACUCUCAAUCCCGGAGGGAAUCCUGCUAUCGCUGACGUGUCAAGAGAGGCUGGAGGAAAACUGACAUCUCUUUUGGUUCAGCCCAUCUCUGCUUUCCUGGCAAAGACAUUACUGUCCUCUCCAUCAACGGGGCAGGGAGACUCCUGCAUUCCUCUGGCCAUGCCUCCUAACACAGAACGAAAGAAGAUUACCCUGACUGUUGGGAACCAGCUGUCAUACAAGAAAAUCUACAAUGUUGUGGGAUAUCUAAAAGGGAGGAAGAACCCAGAUCGCUAUGUGCUGGUAGGCAGCCGUCAUGACAACGACCAGGGAGGCGGGGCUUCUGCUAUCAUGAAUCAGCUCAUUGCUGUGCUGACGGAUCAGACCAAACGAGGUUUGGUGCCAGACCGGACCACCGUGUUCUGCUCUUGGGGAGGCACAGCUCUGGGGAACAUUGGGUCCUUCGAGUGGGGAAAGGAUAACAGUGUCGUCCUGAGGAGCAGUGCAGUGGCCUACAUCAGUCUUAACUCUCCAGUUAGAGGAACAGAAACUCUCAGAGCCACAGCCUCCCCAACUCUGCUGCAACUCACUUCAGAUAUACAGAGAAGGCAGUUGCUAAGUUGCAUUCGUGGUGGAAACUGCCCUGGACCCAAUGUCAGCUCCCUGCAGUUGCCCGGGGAUGUGAAUUUCUUCGCCAACCAACUGGCUGUGCCUACCAUGGAGUUUGCCUUCGAGCAGACAAAAGCAGAAGAGGCCACCAGUUUCCUGUCAGAAGCCCAGUUUUCUGCUGAGUCACCGGAGACUCUGGACCCACUUUUCAAGUUCCACGAAACCAUUGCCAAGAGCCAGUGUCAAGACAUAGAGGAGUGCUCUUUUCUUUGCUAUUUUCCUAGUUCUUUUCAAUACUCAAGCUGUAACAUUUUGGACAAGCUGAAGGGUCAUAAGUCUUAUUUCCCCAGUCAUUGAAUUUAAUACACACAUUGCUAAUAAGAGCAUUUCACGUACUGAGUCCACUUCCUGGGUGUAGAAAUGUAAAGUGAACCCCUUGUUUUCGUUUAUGCCAUGUGAAAAAUAAUUAAACAUUGUUAGCAAGUCUGUGCUUGUGGUAAACAAACGCAAAGCCAGCUACUGACUGUCAUUCAGCCAGCUAAGUUAGCAUAAAAAAGUGCCAUCUGUUUCACUUAUGACAGUCAAAGCCUGGAAACAUUUCUUGAUGUUUACUGGAGAUCGUACAGGUGCAAGUGCAAGAACAAUAGCUGCUGUCUUCACUUUCACUUCCCUGCAAUAGCAGAUCUAUUGAAUAAAAAGCACCGUGUCUGAGAAAAAGCCACAAAGAUGUUGAGCUAUUUGUCAGCUUUGCACAUUCAGGGCCAUUUUACAAACAACACAAAGUGUUCCAGGAAAACAAAAGAGGCAUCUUGAGGUCAAAAUCAACGAAAAAGAAAACAACAUCCACUGAUAAACCUUGAUAUCAAAGUCAUAGUGUUUUCAGUAUUUUUAUCUUUUGCUAUAAAAGCUUGAACUCUCACUGACUUCUCUGUUAAAGUCAAAUCAAAUACUCUGUGCUUAUGCAAGCUGUUACCAUAUUAGACUACUAAGAAUUUAACUUUUUUUAAAUAACCCUCACUUUGAGCAGGAAGACUCUCUUAGCUCACGGCUGCUAGCAAGACUCUCAGAGAGCUGUCAUGAGCUUUCACAUAAAAAAACAGUUGCUUUAUUCUUUUUGCAAAAGACUGGCCCUGAAUUAAUCCACUUCAUUCUUUCAUGUCCUUACCAUAGCGAGUCAUACAAUAUCUGUGAAAUUACACUCAUUUCUAAGUACCAGCCUGGCAGGAGAAGUGCACAACCCUCAUAACAUGUGAGCGAAGACAGUUGCUCAAUCUGUUUCUGUGUUUUCAUCUACUCAACACCCUGUGCUAAAAAAAAAUAUAAUAAUAAUAAAAUAGCUUCAUUCAUUAGAGUAGAGGGUGGAGGGGAAAGCAGAAGCAGUUUAAUUUGGGUGUGCAGGGUGUGUAGGAGAGAAGACAAGUUUGUACGUAACAAGCUUCUAGUGAACGGGGAGCCAUCUGUGCCAUAGCAUUCUGUCUGUAUUGUAUGCCUGUUUGAUGUGUGCACGAUUCACAGUGUGACUUUAAAUGGAUAUACGUGUAUUCCUCUGGGGCUGUGCACGCACUGAAGCACCUGUUCUGUCUAUCUGAGUGUAAGCUCAAGCUGCAUUUCAGGGCAAAGCUAUGCUGUGUGAAGUUUCUUAGGUUUUUGGUCGAGUCUCAGUAGAGUUGUUUUAAAGCGUUAAUUGAUGUGAAAAAUUCCCUCAAAAACGUUCUAUUGUAUUAUCCAUUAUUUUAUCAAAGAUGGCCCACUGAGACUGAGGUCUGUACCUUGCAGCAAUA